GCCAUAGCUCAGUGAUAGAGUAUUUGCCUUUCAAGCAAAAGGUCCUAGGUUCAAUCCCCAGUAUCACUG